CGGAUGUAGCCAAGUGGAUCAAGGCAGUGGA
rnacentral:tRNA from 8 species